GAUUCGAGUGGCAAACGGGUGAGUAACGCGUAAGCAACCUGCCCUCUAGAUGGGGACAACAGCUGGAAACGGCUGCUAAUACCGAAUACGUUUUUUCUGUCGCAUGGCAGAGAGAAGAAAGGGAGGCUCUUCGGAGCUUUCGCUGGAGGAGGGGCUUGCGUCUGAUUAGCUAGUUGGAGGGGUAACGGCCCACCAAGGCGACGAUCAGUAGCCGGUCUGAGAGGAUGAACGGCCACAUUGGGACUGAGACACGGCCCAGACUCCUACGGGAGGCAGCAGUGGGGAAUCUUCCGCAAUGGACGAAAGUCUGACGGAGCAACGCCGCGUGAACGAUGACGGCCUUCGGGUUGUAAAGUUCUGUUAUACGGGACGAAUGGUACGACGGUCAAUACCCGUCGUAAGUGACGGUACCGUAAGAGAAAGCCACGGCUAACUACGUGCCAGCAGCCGCGGUAAUACGUAGGUGGCAAGCGUUGUCCGGAAUUAUUGGGCGUAAAGGGCGCGCAGGCGGCGUCGUAAGUCGGUCUUAAAAGUGCGGGGCUUAACCCCGUGAGGGGACCGAAACUGCGAUGCUAGAGUAUCGGAGAGGAAAGCGGAAUUCCUAGUGUAGCGGUGAAAUGCGUAGAUAUUAGGAGGAACACCAGUGGCGAAAGCGGCUUUCUGGACGACAACUGACGCUGAGGCGCGAAAGCCAGGGGAGCAAACAGGAUUAGAUACCCUGGUAGUCCUGGCCGUAAACGAUGGAUACUAGGUGUAGGAGGUAUCGACCCCUUGUGU
rnacentral:rRNA from 1 species